AGAACCCAGGGAGAUACCAUGAUCGACCAGGUGGCUUUCCCAGGGUGAAACCUGUCCAUUGCAAAUGGGGCAGGCCGACCCCUGCAAGUUCACAAAUGUGAGCAACUUGACUGUAUAAUUUUGUGAUAAUGAGGGACUGUGUGUGCUCUUGUUCCCC